rnacentral:rRNA from 1 species
GUCCACGCCCUAAACGAUGUCAACUGGUUGUUGGGUCUUAACUGACUCAGUAACGAAGCUAACGCGUGAAGUUGACCGCCUGGGGAGUACGGCCGCAAGGUUGAACUCAAAGGAAUUGACGGGACCCGCACAAGCGGUGGAGCAUGUGGUUUAAUUCGAAGCAACGCGAAGAACCUUACCUGGGCUUGACAUGCUGGUGUAAGCCGGUGGAAACAUCGGCCCCUCUUCGGAGCGCCAGCACAGGUGCUGCAUGGCUGUCGU